UCCUUACUACAUUUGUAUGGCCUC
rnacentral:siRNA from 1 species